GACUUUGAUUAUAUAUAUGUCUAGAUGGAGUGUCACCAUACAAUCCCAACAAAGAAGCAGAGACAAAAUUGUUAUGCAUGUGUGCGUGUAGAUGUCAUUUUACACUGCGCGUUGACGUAAAUAAUGAUACCAGCUUCUACGAUUCUCCCAUAAAUAAUGAAAAAAAAAUAGACUAAUUAAAUAAGUUUGUAUACAUAGUGUUAUUCGGUUUAACUAUAACUUUAUAGAAAAUUGAACCUCGCUUGGCACUGCUCCUUUUGUAAGUCUUCGUCGCCCUAUCUUGUCGACAGUACUCAUGUCCUUGCUGUGGAAGUGAUCGGAACACACUACGGUAUUUUUUGUUGGUGUCCACAUCGCAUCUCCGCGGCUUUUUUUAAUGCGGUCUGACUCCUAACAAUAGGAUUACUUGGAAUUCUAAAAAAAAUUAUGUUACGUCGAUGACCAUGAUUUACUAAUCAAAUAAUAGUAGAUAAUAUUUUGGAGAAUCAGAAAAUGUCUAUCCGAGCAAUAAAAAUAGAAAUUAUACCUAUUACUUUUUUCCGCAGUGCUUAAAAAAAUAUCCUUUAUACAUAACAUAAACACGUGAAGUUGGGAAAAUGAAAAACAGAAACUGGCAACACUGAUACAAUAUGGCGUGAUUUAAUAAACAUAAUUACAAAAAAACAAAUAUUUAUUUUCUGGGUCAGUUACCGAUGAUAGGUGAUGUUAUUGGCACUUUUUAGCCUUCCUUUAUAAUUCCGGCAGACUUUAAUUGCACAUGUCGUCAUUUUACCUCUGUUAUUUGUAUUUUAGUUAGCGCGCGUAAUACGUUUUGACAGUUAAGCGGCACGAUCUGUUCCAGGGUCUGUCAAGUUUGUUCUACGAAUUGCAUUAAGGUGGGCUUGAAAACAAGAGAGAGUCAACGACAUCAGAGUAAAAGAGAUAAAUAUAUAAUGUUGCCACCAAAAAUACAAUUUCGUAUUCUCCCUAAUAAUGAGCGUAUAAAUUGAUUUUUAAAGUAAAUUACCCUUGAAGAUACUUUUAGCUAUUAUUCUAAUGCCAAAAAAUAUACUUAGUUGAGAAAUAUUAGAUAUAAAAUUUAAUAUUACUUAUUAGAAAAUAUAUAUGGGGGAUUAUGUGUGGCAACACUAAUGUCCGGACGCCAUAUUGGUUUUGACAUUGUUGACGUCACAAGAAAAAUGUCUGCGGCCGGUUGCGCACCAUUUUAUCUUGUACUAAUGUUUAUUUGUAAUAAAUAAACUACUUCCAUUUAAUUCUACAUACAUUGAUAACGUUGAGUCGAGCUUGCUCCUCCGUUGCUGUGUUUUGGUGAAAUUAAGUGUGUAUUUGUGAGAUAUAGACUCGGUGUUGAGACAGUGACUUGUUUGAUUUUGUUUUGUGUUUAAUUCGCGAUGAGUUCACAAAAAGAAAACACAAGAAUCUGCUGCUUGUGUGGAUCUUCACCUUCUAAAGAUCCCAGCAUCACUUUGCAUCGGUUUCCAAAGCCUGGCACUAAAAAUGCUCUGCGUUGUGAAUUAUGGGCAAAGUAUUGCUUCCCAAACGAAGCCUGGUCUUCACCAAAAUUCCAGGACGACUCCAUAAACAACAUAAGAUGCUAUGCAGCAAACAUUUCAAAAGCACAUGCUUUAAUGAGAAGAAGUUGUUCAGAACAGCUGUACCUGAUGUAGUAAAUGUUUGUAAAUAUCAAAAUAUAAUUGGUCUAGUGUCUUUCUCUUCCUAAUCAUUUCUAUAAUAAAGAAGAAAUAACACCAACGUUUAUUACACAAUAUGAUAGAAUAAUUUAAACCAUGUCUGUAAACUUGUUGUUUGUUAAACAAAUCGAUAGUAUUCUUUAUUGUAUAAUAACAUAGUCUUGUUUUUAUAAUAGUAACACUUUAAAACUAACUAGAAUUUUUGUUUGUUUAUGUUUUGAUGUUGAAAUUGUAUGCAAUAGGCCCAUCCAUACUUGUUAUUUUGGACGAAAAUGUCUGAAAUACCUACCUAAAUUGAUUAAAUUCAUGUAUUUUAAAAUUCAUUACAUAGGUGCACAUACUUGUGAUUUAUGAACACCUUUUGUACCCUAUUUCUGGAAAUAAAUUAUAAUUAUUAACAUGCUAAAUAAAAAACUCUUGUACUGUAA